rnacentral:misc_RNA from 1 species
GAUGAAGAACGCAGCGAAAUGCGAUAAGUAAUGUGAAUUGCAGAAUUCAGCGAAUCAUCGAAUCUUUGAACGCACAUUGCGCCCCCUGGUAUUCCGGGGGGCACGCCUGUUCGAGCGUCAUUUCAACCCUCAAGCCCCCGGCUUGACGUUGGGCGCGGCCCCUCCCUCGGGGGGGGCCCGCCUGAAACCCCUCGGCGUCGCCGUCCGUCCCAGAGCGCAGCGAGUUUUCUGCCCGCGCUACUGGACCGGGCCGCUGGCCGCCGGUGAAUCCAUUUUCUCAAGGUUGACCUCGGAUCAGGUGGGGAUACCCGCUGAACUUAAGCAUAUCAAUAAGCGGAGGA